AGCCCCGUGGUGUAGUGGUCAAUCAUGCGAGGCUCUGGACCUCGCGACCCAGGUUCGAAUCCUGGCGGGGCUA
rnacentral:tRNA from 2 species